rnacentral:rRNA from 1 species
AUGAACGCUGGCGGCGUGCCUAAUACAUGCAAGUCGAGCGAACAGACGAGGAGCUUGCUCCCCUGACGUUAGCGGCGGACGGGUGAGUAACACGUGGAUAACCUACCUAUAAGACUGGGAUAACUUCGGGAAACCGGAGCUAAUACCGGAUAAUAUAUUGAACCGCCUGGUUCAAUAGUGAAAGACGGUUUUGCUGUCACUUAUAGAUGGAUCCGCGCCGCAUUAGCUAGUUGGUAAGGUAACGGCUUACCAAGGCAACGAUGCGUAGCCGACCUGAGAGGGUGAUCGGCCACACUGGAACUGAGACACGGUCCAGACUCCUACGGGAGGCAGCAGUAGGGAAUCUUCCGCAAUGGGCGAAAGCCUGACGGAGCAACGCCGCGUGAGUGAUGAAGGUCUUCGGAUCGUAAAACUCUGUUAUUAGGGAAGAACAAAUGUGUAAGUAACUAUGCACGUCUUGACGGUACCUAAUCAGAAAGCCACGGCUAACUACGUG